rnacentral:misc_RNA from 1 species
AGAGAGAGAGAGAGAGAGAGGAUGGGACUUGAGGGUCCUGCAAUUGCAAUUCAAGAAAUAAAAAAUGAGACUUGUUUUAGGUGUUUUGUUGUUUAAAUGGGAAAGCAGCAGCCAACUAUAAUCCUCGAAAUCAUCUAAAAUUAAAGGCAUUAGAAAGUGAAAAAGCUGAUGGAAAAGUGAUUACAAUCUUUUGUCUCUUGGAGACAAGGAUGGGCACCCAUCAAUCUUGAACUGGAAAAGAAAGCAUUCAUGAAAAAGCUUCACAUAAUUUUUCAGUUUUCUUACUAUUAAAGGAAGUAGAAAUUCGGAUAACCUGAUAAAAUUACUACUACCCCAUUUGGUUUUCCAAUUUCAAAAAGAUGGAUCCAUGCUGAUAUAGCCAGUGGAAAAAAAAAAAUGAUUCCCAGGGAUCAAUGACACUUUUUUUUUUUUCUUUUCCGGGAUUUUUCCAGAUAGAAUUGCAACACUGUAAUGCAUAUGCAACGAGGCAAAGAGGAGAACUGCACUGGUAUACAAGCCUUAUUCUGCAAUUCUACCUUCCCACACCCAACAAGUAAAAGAAAGCUAAUUAAUAAGAAAAGAUUGUUUUUGGCUCACAAAUAUUUCAAAACCAGAGGGUAAUAAAUGUUUUUGUAUCAGACCUAUUUACAAGAGAAAAAUCUGGGGCACACACCUGUAAAAUAAAGAGCGAGCUCUAGCAAGCAUCCGUACGUUGGAGCCUCUUCAGUUUCCUCCUCUAACACCGGUGGCUUCACUCGCAUGCCAAUCAAAGCUAAAUAUGUCCAUAGGCUGCUGUAAGUCUUUGGAUAUCUUUAGGGCAUAUAUCAGAAUUUUGGAAAGGUUCUAGUUGCUGCUGGUUUUGAGGCCACACAGACCUUGAAUUUUGGGAUAGGAGAUGCGUUUCUGAUUUUAUCUCAUUGUAUAAAGAUUGUGGACUUUGAUUUUGUGAAGCUGCAGCCAUUAUCAAUGGAUUAUGAAGAUAUUCUGGCCAUUUCACGUCCACUUGUUGGCUUCCUAUCAGCUGGCUUUGACCAUCUUUCUCCGUUGAGCUACAGUCCCCCAAUCCCCAAGAAAAGAUGGUGCUCUCAAAGAAAGAGCUGUUGCUUUGCAGUUCGGCGUUGCCGCUGCUUCCAGUGCUGCUGUUACUAUUGUUGCUCGGGGCACCGGCUUCCCAAAACCGUGAACUGCUGAUUGGGAAAGACGCCAAUGAAGGGUCGUCGGAGGGAACAGUAACGGAGGGCUUGAAAGCCAUCGAUGUAGAAAGAAAUGAACUUGUUGUAGGUGGAAGGAUGGUGGGUAUUGAACUGGAAGAGAAUUCGGAGUUAACAUCCAAAGAUUUGCUGGUUUGUGUAAACCAGGGGGAGGGGAUUGAGUUGGUUGUGAGCCUGGCAUUAGACGCAUAAUUCAAUUGCUGAAGAGGGAAAUGCCCCACCAAAUCCGAAGGUUGGCAGUUGCUUGUGGAUCCUUCAUGGCGGGAGGUUGCGAACCUUUCCAAGAAAAAGUCCUUGUUGCUUAUGGGUGUCAUCAAAUUACUGUUGUUACCAUGGUUGUUGGGGUUGCUGCUCAUAUUUUUGGAGUUGGAAGAACCUUCCCCCUCUAAUUGGUAGGCUUGCGCAGAAACAGGCGAUUGUUUCUUUUCUUGUAAAUUUGGCCCUGGCUUAGAAUUACUGGCUUCGAGGAGGUUCAAUUCACUGGAUACUCCAGAGCCCUUUUCUUGGCCCUUGUUGGCAGUUGGAUUCCUGUCUUGUCCAUUGUUUUCAACCUCGGAAAGUGGUUUGUGGGUAACAGGGUCAAUGCCCCUCUGCCUAAGUUUCUUCUUUAAGCAGGAGUUCCAGAGAUUUUUUAUUUCAUUGUCGGUCCUUCCGGGCAACUGUGCUGCAAUCUGAGACCACCUGAAAAAUAAGCAUCCACAAAAACCCAAAAGCGUUAACUACUUUUCAUGAACAAAAAAGAGCUAUGGAUGAAUAUAUAUACCUGUUGCCCAGAACUGCAUGAAGUUCAAUUAUGAGGUUCUCUUCCUGUUGGGAGAAUGUGCCUCUCUUCAAAUCAGGCCUCAAGUAAUUAAUCCACCUCAAUCUGCAGCUCUUUCCGCACCUCUGCAAACCUGCAAAUUCACCAAAAAUGGAAAUCAGUGAGUUGCAGUAGUAGUAGUAGUAGUAGUUUUGUUUUGGAAACAGAGGAAAUUGAUGAGGUUAGUUUGAGAUACCAGCUUGCUUGGGGACAGAGCUCCAACAACCGUGGCCAUACUUGGUAAUAUGCCUGAGAAGUUUCUCGUCUUCCUCAGGUGACCAGAGGCCUUUCCUUAGCUUCUGCUUGUAGCAGCAAGAGUGCCUACCCAUUUGGAGUAAGACACACCAGCAAUGAGGGGAAAGAUGAGAUAUCUUUCCUAAAAACUGCCAAGUUUGUUGAAUCCUAGGUGAAGUGUCAGCUAGGAAACGGAUUUGUAGGAAGGUGCUUUGGCAGAAAUGUAGUUAGCGCGCACGCACAGAGUUGAAAAGGAGGCCAAGAAAAUGAAGUAGCAGCAGAGAAAUUGAGUUGAAUUAAUAUAAGGUAGCCUUCAAGAGAAAGGAGUCACCGUCAAUAAUGUCUUAAAC